rnacentral:lncRNA from 1 species
GAAGAGAUUGGCGGAGGGGAAAGACUGAGUCGUCUUUCCUUUGCCCGCUUCUGUGGACUGUUCGAACGCCCAGGGGUGGGCCAAACCCGUUUCUUAGGAAACCAGGAAUCCAGGGAAGGCAGAAUGGCUUCCUUUGGGUGGAAGAGGAAAAUUGGUGAGAAGGUCUCAAAGGUCACUUCCCAGCAGUUUGAAGCUGAAGCUGCUGAUGAGAAGGAUGUAGUUGACAACGAUGAAGGGAACUGGCUUCAUGCCAUUAAACGUAGGAAAGAAAUUCUUCUUGAAGGCUGUGCUGAGAAAAGUAAACAGCUGAAGGAUGAAGGAGCCAGUUUGGCUGAAAAUAAAAGGCAAUUCGAAGUUUUCAAGUAGCCCUUCACAUCUAUCCAAUGAACCCUGAAAUAUGGAAAGAAGACCUCUCUUGGGCAAGAACGCUCCAGGAGCAGCAGAAGGUAGCACAGAGGAUUAAAAAAAGUGAAGCACCAGCUGAAGUAACACACUUUUCACCAAAGUCAAUUCCAGACUAUGACUUUGAAAGUGAUGAGAUUGUUGCUGUUUGUGCAGCUAUUGCUGAGAAAGAGAAGACAGUUUCAGCAAAUAAAACAAUGGUUAUUGUGUCUGCUUCUGGGGCCAUAGAGACUGUAACUGAAAAGGAGGAUGGUGCUACACCACCAGAUGGCUCUGUUUUUAUCAAAGCCCGAUGAAGCAGUAUGCAUAGGAUUAUUUGAAUCUGUCUUUUUGAUUGCCUCUUGAAGUUUUGACAUAGAGACAUUUACUCUGGAGAUAGAUAGGAGAACGCCUGGUUGUAAAAUAUGUUUUUCAGAUGAGGCAUAUAAAAACUAAAAUGGCAGGAUUAUUGUAUAGUGUUUGGAAUAUGCUUUGAUAAGUUAUGAUUUAUAUUUCUCAAGGUUAAAAUUCUGAGUAAAAUGGUCUUUGAUUAAUAAACUUAGUUUAAUCUGAAUAUGUAAAUGAAUACAUUUUAAAGACAAAACUUGAAAAAUGUAUUCUUGAAUAGUGAAUAAUUUGAUCAAUGUUACUGAAAUGCUGUCUCAACUUUUGUUUUAUGAUAAAGGAAGUGUGUGAUUUCCCUCCCUCUGAGAAAUAUACUGCGCUUAAUAUUUGCUGUCUUUUUCUUGCUUCAUUAGAGUAAGUCUGUCAGAAAGCUUGAAUAUUUUUGACAUUCAUUUUGAUUCAAAGUUGUCAUUUGGUUAUAUGUGGAAUCUUUGAAAGUUUGGCUGAAAAUGCACACAAAUGUGUACAUUCUGAACAUUUUCUGAAGUUUCUCUUAAUUCUGAUUUGUGUUUCUGUUUUGACUUUGAAGUUGUAACAAUGAUAGUUGUCUCCUUCAGUAUUUGGUAAAAGUGUAAAGUAUUGAUAAAUAUGAGAAUGAUGGUUUUAUUUUUUAAUUGUUACAGUAAGUAAUCCUUACCACAAAUGAGUCAUUUUUAAAAUAUGCAUUUUUAAAUGAAUGGCUUUUACAGAUAGGUUAAUGACAAUUGUACUGCUAUAUUAUCCCAGUCAAAACCAAUACUUUCUUUUCUUUAUUUUACAAAGCUUUAAAAACCCUGGAAACAACUUACUUCUUGCUUGUGUCUUUCCAUUUGAUGACUGGGAAUUACUUUUCUAGAUAACUUUUUUUGAAACUACUCAGUGAAAUGAAAAAUAAUUACAAUUUUAAAUAGCUAAUUAUAUCUUUCUAAAAAUAAAAAAGUA